CUUUAGGGAUUUGGGAGUUUUGGGUUAGCAAUUUUAGGGAUUUUUGGUUAACAAAUAGAUUUGGGGAUUUGGGAAUUUAGGUUUGCUGGUGAUUUGAGGAAGGUGGAAUUUAAGUUGUCUGGUGAUUUAAGGAAGGUGGAAUUUAGGUUGUGUGGUGAUUUUGAUUUGAUCUGCUUCCUAAGAAUGAGCUUGAGCAAGAUGAAAGCAUUGGAAGAAACGAAGAAAUUUUAAUUUAGUUAUUGUAUUUACCAAAAAAAAAAAA